GGGGCGGGGGCGGCGCGCUCCGGGAGCGCGGGGCCGCGCGUUGGAUGCGCGUCGCUCCGCACCGCACCGAGGAGAGAGCGGCGCAGAGAGAGGGGAGCGGCGGAGGGAGCGGAUUAAGGUGUGAGCAUUUGCUGUUCGUGGGCAGUUUGCGAAGGCAAAUAUUGAAAUACUGCCUGGGUCUGAACUGCAGUGCAAUUUCUGUCACUAACUGGAGCAAAAACAAAACACUGGGACAUGUUAUCUCCUGA